rnacentral:rRNA from 1 species
GGGGAAUAUUGGACAAUGGGGGAAACCCUGAUCCAGCCAUGCCGCGUGAGUGAAGAAGGCCUUAGGGUUGUAAAGCUCUUUCGACGGGGACGAUGAUGACGGUACCCGUAGAAGAAGCCCCGGCUAACUUCGUGCCAGCAGCCGCGGUAAUACGAAGGGGGCAAGCGUUGUUCGGAUUUACUGGGCGUAAAGGGCGCGUAGGCGGAUGUACAAGUCAGAGGUGAAAGCCCUGGGCUCAACCCGGGAACUGCCUUUGAAACUGUGCAUCUUGAGUAUGGGAGAGGAUGGCGGAAUACCCAGUGUAGAGGUGAAAUUCGUAGAUAUUGGGUAGAACACCAGUGGCGAAGGCGGCCAUCUGGCCCAUAACUGACGCUGAGGCGCGAAAGCGUGGGGAGCAAAC